GACGAACGCUGGCGGCGUGCUUAACACAUGCAAGUCGAACGGAAAGGCCCUGCUUUUGUGUGGUGCUCGAGUGGCGAACGGAUGUGUAACACGUGAGUAACCUGCCCUUGACUUUGGGAUACCUUCAGGAAACUGGGGAUAAUACCGGAUAGGUGCUCCUGCUGCAUGGUGGGGGUUGGAAAGUGGCGGCGGUGUGGGAUGGUCUCGCGGGUUCACAGCUUGUUGGGGGGGUAGUGGCUUACCAAGGGUUUGGCGGGUCGCCGACCUGAGAAGGUGACCGGCGACAUUGGGCCUGAGAGACGGCCCAGACUCCUACGUGAGGCAGCAGUGGGAAAUAUUGCACAAUGGGCGGAAGCCUGAUGCAGCGACGCCGCGUGCGGGAUGCCGGCCUGCGGGUUGUAAACCGCUUUCGCCUGUGCCGAAGCGUGAGUGACGGUAAUGGGUAAAGAAGCACCGGCUAACUACGUG
rnacentral:rRNA from 1 species